UUUGUAUAAUGGGUCAGCGACUUAUAUUCAGUGGCAAGGUUAACCAUCUAGGGGAGCCGUAGGGAAACCGAGUCUUAACUGGGCGUUCAGUCUCUGGAUAUAGACCCGAAACCAGGUGAUCUAGCCAUGGGCAGGUUGAAGGUUGAGUAACAUCAACUGGAGGACCGAACCGACUAAUGUUGAAAAAUUAGCGGAUGACUUGUGGCUAGGGGUGAAAGGCCAAUCAAACCUGGAGAUAGCUGGUUCUCCCCGAAAGCUAUUUAGGUAGCGCCUCGGACGAAUACUACUGGGGGUAGAGCACUGUUAAGGCUAGGGGGUCAUCCCGACUUACCAACCCUUUGCAAACUCCGAAUACCAGUAAGUACUAUCCGGGAGACACACGGCGGGUGCUAACGUCCGUCGUGGAGAGGGAAACAACCCAGACCGCCAGCUAAGGUCCCAAAUUACUACUAAGUGGGAAACGAUGUGGGAAGGCUCAGACAGCCAGGAUGUUGGCUUAGAAGCAGCCAUCAUUUAAAGAAAGCGUAAUAGCUCACUGGUCGAGUCGGCCUGCGCGGAAGAUGUAACGGGGCUAAGUAGUAAACCGAAGCUGCGGCAAUAUACUUUUGUAUAUUGGGUAGGGGAGCGUUCUGUAAGCGGUUGAAGGUGUGUGGUAACGCAUGCUGGACGUAUCAGAAGUGCGAAUGCUGACAUGAGUAACGAUAAAGGGGGUGAAAAACCUCCUCGCCGGAAGACCAAGGGUUCCUGUCCAACGUUAAUCGGGGCAGGGUAAGUCGACCCCUAAGGCGAGGCCGAAAGGCGUAGUCGAUGGGAAACGGGUUAAUAUUCCCGUACUUCUUACAAUUGCGAUGGGGGGACGGAGAAGGCUAGGUGGGCCUGGCGACGGUUGUCCAGGUUCAAGUGCGUAGGCUGAGAAAUUAGGUAAAUCCGGUUUCUCUUAAGGCUGAGACACGACGUCGAGCAUCUACGGAUGUGAAGUCAUUGAUGCCAUGCUUCCAGGAAAAGCCUCUAAGCUUCAGAUUGUAAGGAAUCGUACCCCAAACCGACACAGGUGGUCGGGUAGAGAAUACCAAGGCGCUUGAGAGAACUCGGGUGAAGGAACUAGGCAAAAUGGUACCGUAACUUCGGGAGAAGGUACGCUCUCGACGGUGAAGUCCCUCGCGGAUGGAGCUAUUGAGAGUCGCAGAUACCAGGUGGCUGCAACUGUUUAUUAAAAACACAGCACUGUGCAAAAUCGCAAGAUGACGUAUACGGUGUGACGCCUGCCCGGUGCCGGAAGGUUAAUUGAUGGGGUUAGACUUCGGUCGAAGCUCUUGAUCGAAGCCCCGGUAAACGGCGGCCGUAACUAUAACGGUCCUAAGGUAGCGAAAUUCCUUGUCGGGUAAGUUCCGACCUGCACGAAUGGCGUAAUGAUGGCCACGCUGUCUCCACCCGAGACUCAGUGAAAUUGAAAUCGCUGUGAAGAUGCAGUGUACCCGCGGCUAGACGGAAAGACCCCGUGAACCUUUACUACAGCUUGGCACUGAACAUUGACCCUACAUGUGUAGGAUAGGUGGGAGGCUUUGAAGCGCAGUCGCUAGAUUGCGUGGAGCCGUCCUUGAAAUACCACCCUU
rnacentral:rRNA from 1 species